GUACAGUACUGCAGCCAAGGAUGACUUGCCGGCCGGCUAAGCUAUCUCUUCCAUAUAUUCUGUUAUUAUGUUCAUUUUAUUGCCAAAGAUUUGAACAAGACUGUAAUACAUAAAUGAAACAAAAACCUUUGGAGGAGAUGACAUCGAUCCGGCAAGUUGUCCUCGGCUACAAUUCUGUCUCA
rfam:Gossypium hirsutum cultivar TM-1 chromosome 17, whole genome shotgun sequence